UUUACAUGCAACUGAGACUUUAUUUUCACCUCUACAGCACUUUACUCAUAAGUUAAUAUCUGACAUCUAUCAAAGAAGGAACAUUAACCAGUCAGAAUGACUAAAAAGUAUAACAUAUCUGUAAAAACAUGACUAAAACUGUCAGAUGUGUGCAACCGUUACAAGUGACUUAUUGAAUGUCUGUUUGUUUUUUUUAAAGAAAGCAACUUUUUUGGUUUCUAGCUCUUUAUAAAACAGGUCAAUAAAUCUGGAUUUUUGGUUGUAUCAGUGUCUUUUAAGCAUGUUAAAUACAAUUUUAUAAUAAAGCUUUAAGCAACACAGAUCCUAAAAUACUGUAAUAAUUUCUCUAAAGCCUGCAUUUAUGGGAUCAAGUCACAAUGAUCUCUUUUCACUGAAACUUUAAGCAUUAAUGUUAACACAGCUUUGUUUUGGGUUUUUUUUCCAGGAUGGCUAUUUUGAGAACACCUACUAUAGUGAUUUUAUUGCAAACUUGGAGAAAAUCAAGUAUGCCACAAAAACAAACAAACAAAAGUAAACCCCACACUGCUCUACUUGGGGUCAAAAUCCAAAUGUGACCUCUAGCUGAGCCAUAGCUGACUGGUUUAGUUUAACGUGGUGUUUGUGUAACCCUCACAGGUCAGUACAUGAACAUAUCCCACCUUGAUGUCCGCUCAAUGCUCCCCGAGAACCUGAACCACUUCUUCAGAUACCAGGGCUCCCUCACCACUCCGCCCUGCUACGAGAGCAUCCUCUGGACUGUGUUUGAUAACAUCCAUUGAGGACAUUCAUUCGGGUGCUUGCUUGUCUUAAAAGCUGCCAAACAUAUCUACAUGUAAGAGAUGGCUGUAUUCACUUUGCAGUGUUUGCUUCUUUCCUUUUUCUUCCCUUUAGGUGGAUUUCACAAUUCAAGGUCUAUCAGAUAUGGUGGGUGGUUUUAAAAUUUGAUAUUGAUGUGCAAUUAAAGUUAGAUUGGUGCUUCUCCAGCCUGAUUCUUUUUUUCUGUCGUCCUCAGAAACUGGCUUUUUGUUUCCUCUGGUGCUCAUCUUCCAGGAGAAAGAUUCUGUCAGUUAUGCUUUGGCCAGACUAAAACUGAGCAUGUAUGGAGGGGUGCAGCUGGACAGUCAGUACAGAUGUUUCUGAUGCUUCUGUUUGUAUGAGCUUCAACAUGCUGCAACAAGCCAGAAUAUCAUCUGUUGAUGGUGGGGAUUUGAUUGAAGGGUUUAUGGUAUGUUUUACAAAGGACAAAAUGCUUUUCAAGGCGCCUACAGGCCAAUAUUAAAAACACGUCACAGCUUGAGCCAUGUACCGCAUUCAUAUGUCAUCAAUAAAAGCUUACAAGAGA